GGUAGCCUAGUGGUUAUAGCGUCCGCCUCGGAUGCAGUAGGUAGUUGGUUCGAACCCCGUGAGAGUCA